CUCACAGCUUUAGCUCAGCAUGUUGUUUCUGCACUUACUGUCUUUCAGGAAAAGUUUUUUAAAAACUUUCCUCCUCGGCCGUCUCAGACUCAGACUCCACAAUCCACAUUCCCACAGGAGAAAAACAACUGGUUAGCGGCCUCUUGUCCUCAGCAUGGAAGUCAGUGUCUACCUAGCACAGAAGUAUUUUUCACUAGUUCUCUUUUACUUUUAUACUAGUUUAUGGUUUGCAUGAACCUCACAGCCUUCCAAGAGGCACUGUAACAGGCAGUGCCUCUCUCAAACCUCAAGAAUUGCUGUCUUGAAAAUCUCAGUGGUAAGACUUUGUGGGGAAAAGAUGGAAGCCUGGGGGAAUCAAGAUAUUCAGUGAACCCAUGAGAGCACUUAGAAUUUUUUUUUUUACAUUUGUAUCAGUUGGAUGCUUUCAACUGCAAGUAACAUAAAACUAACAGUGACUUAUACCUCAUGACUUUUAUUACUAAAGUGUAGAAAUAGGUGAUUCUCAGGAUUGGUUGGCAGCUUAACCCUUCAUCUUUCCACUCUUACCUUCCUCUGUGUGUUAGCUCCCAACUUCACCCUUGGGAUUGCCUGAUCACAACGUGGCUGCCACAACUCCAGGCAUCACAUCCUCGCGCAGCAGCAUCCAAAGCAAAAAGAGAUGCACAAAAAGGGCUCUUCUCAUAUGUCUCUCUCUUUUUAAUCAGGGAGAAAGCUCUUCCACCCUUCCCACAGAAGUCUUCAUGUCUCAUAGGCCAGGACUAGGUCACAUGAUAGCAAGACAGGUUGCAAAAGGGAAUGUUUAGCUUUUUCAGCCCCUCUGGUAGGAGGCGGGCAAGGAAGAAGGAGUCUGGAAAUGGUUGUUGGUUGGCAUUCAACAGUGUUGUUUAUGAUGUUCGUGAAAAUAAAACACAGGCUACAGACUAAACAGCUAUACGACUAGCUUGAUCUGAAAUUCGAGGGGUUGCAGGAAGUGCAAAAAGUGAGUCUACAUUUGGUAGACUUCGAGGUCGGGAAGGGAUGUCAGGGGCACAGUCGGUGGCCCUCAGGCUUGUUCAGGGUGGGUGGACCUAGAAGGCAUCAUGUUCUCUACUGAACAAUAUGUUCUUUUUGAAAUGCUGCAAAUUACUGACGUAUCUAAUUGCUUCCUACAACACAGGAGAGGUGUACCUGCAGAAAGUCUGCUUCUGAUGCAUGUAUGCAAUUAAAUCAAAAGGUCAGGGGUUCAUGGAAAAAGAAUGUAGCUGUUGAAUCAAGCAUGGCCAGUGAGAUUUGGGUUUUCUGCAUUAAUAUUUAUGUGAAUACCUUUGCUUGGCUAUGAACACCAGCAAGUGGUAGGAGGCAAAUCAGUAGCAAGUCCACAAAGUUUAAGAAAACUCUAAGAGAAAAAGUGAAAGAUGGAGAAAAGUCUAUUAACUUCUUCCUGCCAAUUAAUAAAACCAUGAUUAUUUUGUUUGGACAGCACAAUAUCUUGGUCUGGUUGCUAAAGACCAGUUUUUACAGGCAGAUAGUUUCACAACCACUAAUAUGAUGAGUCAGGAGUCCUGGGCUGAGCCCCCUUACCAGCCUUACCGCUUGCUUCACUCUUGGGAAGGCAUUUAACCUUGCCAAUCCUCAGUGCCAUAUUUCUAAAAUAACAACAAUAAUAAUGAUAAUGGGAAUAAUUAUAGAGCAUUUGUUUACUGUCUUACAGCCACAGUUCUAAAGCCUUUACAUGCUCACUAAAUCUUCAUCGCAUCCCUAGGAAGUACGUACUAUAAUGAUCUCUGUUUUACAGAUGAGGAAAUCAAGGCAGAGAAAGUUGAAAUAACUUGCCCGAGAGUACCCAGCUACCAAGUGGUGACUCCAGAUUCAAACCCAAGGAUCCUGACUCCAAAGAAUAGAGACCCUACCCAACUGAGAGCACUUGACCCGUAACUCUGGUUCUAAAGCACUUCAGUCUUGGAAUGCGGGCACCCCAGGACCCAGGACUCAUGGAACGAUAAAAUCAGAUGAUGGCUCUGACUUCAGAAGUUGUGGUAACCUUACUGUGUAUUUUCAUAUUCUCUGUGCUGAACGGAUGACCCACUUCCAAACCAAGAGCACAAAUUACAGAUGAACAUCCCAACUGCAUUUCAUUUUCCAGCCUCACUAGACUGGAGUCCAUGAAAAUAAAGAGUGUCAACACAGCACCUCUCACAGACGCCACUCUGUGAGGCUGACGUCAUUGACUGCUGUCCAAGGGCGGAAGCUGGAGCACAGGGAAGGGAGUGCCUUCCCGAGUGUGUUCCACUGUAAGUGACAGAGCUGGGAUGCUGCAAACCCAGGCUAUCCUGGUCCAAAUGCGAACUUCUUUUCCUAUAGCGGUGACACUGACUUCCAGUGCCUCUUUGAGGCUGAAGAUCAAGGUGUGCUCAUAGUUUGGA